GUUAUCAUCACCAACCUUCCUUCUGCAUCUUUCUAUUCAAAAAAUCAAAAACUUCGAUCUUCCGAUUUCAAUUUCGUCUCAUCUCCGCCUUCUCAGCAAUGAACUCCGCUUUACAUUUUGCUUUUCCGGCGGCGAAUCCAACUUUUGUCUGCGGAAUCCGAUGUGUGACUGCUUCUCCUGGAUUACUCUGUUCCCGCUUAAGAGUCUUCUCUCUUCCUCCUCCUUAUUCUUCAUCUCUCAAGGCAGAGUCAUGUUUAAAAAGAGACGCGCACAGACAAAGAAGCAGUCUUGAGUCAUCAAUGUUCUGAGAGCCAAGUUAAUAUGUAUAAUCAUUGGUCUAUGCAAUUUUCUUUCUUUUUAAUAUGUAUCUGAACCACUUUUGCUGAUUCUGCUAUAGGUUGUGGUGGAAGUGGUAACAUUAUGUGUAAAACUUGUGGCGGGGCGUGGUCACUUAGGACACUGAUGAUGACUCUGAGGUUAAACUCUGUUUUCAAUCAUAUCAUGGCUUUUGUCAUCAAUAUAUCUCUGAUCUUAUUGCAGAGUCCUAUGUUUUUAGUUUCCACAUAUAGAUUUGUGUCCCUGUACUGAUGUAAUCUCGAGCCACAGAAAUGCACAACCUUGUAACAGACUGGCUAACUUCAUCUUCUCUUGUAAUGGUUUCGUAAAUGGCUGUGACUUAAGUCACUAAACCGAAAUUCUUUAGUGACUUUUAGAUGGA